CAGUCGCCGCGGUAACACAGAGGGUGCAAGCGUUACUCGGAAUUACUGGGCGUAAAGCGUGCGUAGGUGGUGGUUUAAGUCCGUUGUGAAAGCCCUGGGCUCAACCUGGGAAUUGCAGUGGAUACUGGGUCACUAGAGUGUGGUAGAGGAUAGUGGAAUUUCCGGUGUAGCAGUGAAAUGCGUAGAGAUCGGAAGGAACAUCUGUGGCGAAGGCGACUAUCUGGGCCAACACUGACACUGAGGCACGAAAGCGUGGGGAGCAAACAGGAUCAGAGACCCGCGUAGUCCCUGUCUCUUAUAC
rnacentral:rRNA from 1 species